CAGCCCACAUCCCCGCACGCGAACCCUAGCGCUAUCCCUUGCAGCCGCCUCCCACCGCCGCUCCAGAUCUAGAUCCGCCUCCCUCCCCGCUCGCUGCCUCCCUCUCCGCUCGCCGCCGGUCUGCACCCUCCCCUCCCCUCCCUCUCCCCUACCUUUGCCGCCCAUCUUCACUGCCGCACAUCCAUAGGAGCAACACGAGCGGCGCGCCAUGGGGCGGGACCGCCAACUUCUUCUCAUCACCGCUCGCCGCGGAAUGGAAAUAAGGGGCCGGCUGUCGCCGCGUGCUGUUCCUGCGGGUUGUCGCUGCGGGGGCCGGCUGUGUCCUCCUCCCGCCCGUGGAGGAUGACGAGGGCGAGCACGCGGAGGCCGGCGAAGGGGGAGGCGGUGGAGGGGUGCGCCCACUCUGGUACGAGCUAACUCGUGUGUGAUCCCGGGCGCCGCAGGGCCAGCGACAAGUCCGUGAAGGAGAAGCGCAAUAUCAUCAACGGAGACGACCUGAUCUGGUCCAUGGGCACGCUCGGCUUCGAGGACUACGUCGAGCCCCUCAAGCUGCACCUCAAGCUCUAUCGAGAGUUAAUAAUAUUCAUUCAUUCCCCUCUUCUCUCUCUAUUAGCCCUGUUGUGCUACGCAUGUGCUGCCUGAGAGGAAUUCUGAAUUUGUGUGAGAGGAAGGCUGGGUGGGUACAGUAUUGGUGUUGAGGAAUUCUGAAUUUCGCCUAGGGGCACUGUAUUUGCGAUGUUUAGCUGCAGUGAUAUGGUUCCUAGGCUCCUGAUAGACAGGCAAGAGGAUGGCUCUGAUUCUGUAUGACCAUUCAAAACAAGAAAAAGGAAACUGAUAUGUGCCCACUCCUGUUGUUGGAAUGUUUCUUUUGUAUGUUAACUGAAAAAAGUCUGUUUCUUGCAUAUACUUGUGAAGCCCAAUGGCUAUCAUAAAAAAUGAUAUGUGCUUACUUAUGUUGCUAGAUUUCUAUUAUAUGCUAUAACAAAGAAAGGGAUGGUAAAUCUAUAGAUUUAAGUAUUGUAUAUGCUACAAUAUUAGCCAUGCAAACAUAUGCUAGCUAGUGAUUUUUCGGACAUAAUACUAGUGAUUUUUCUUUCUUUCUUUCUUUAUUUCACAUGCUAGCUAGCAAUGGCCAGAAAUACUACUGUUUUCAGUUGAUAGACUCAAAUAAUGCAGCAUGCAUUGUCCUUUUCCCUGCACUAAUAAUGCGGCAUGGGACGUGUGACCACUGACCACAUCAUGUAAUUGUUGCAUAUAUACAGAGUGGUCCUUUUUGAUCUGCAAAUGGUAGUAAUUGUUGCCUGCCACCACAUCAUGUAAUGAGCAACAGUCACACACAAAUUCAGACAAAUGCAUCCAUGGCCUUACACUACAAACACUUACUGUAGGUAGAGGCUGAUGGCGUGACGGAGGCGCGCCCUGAUUUGCUCGUGCAAGCCCAAACAAGGAUCGCGUCGUGGCAAUGCUACAGCCGUGGCUCGAGCUAGAUCACCAUGGCGACGCACAACACAAGACCCCGCUGUUGGAUUCAUUUCUCUGCAGGCCUUCAAGUACAAGAGGCUUUUGCUUGACUAUAACAGCGUACAUGACCAACAAUUCUGCUGAUGAGUAGCACCUCUUAUUUAGCCAUUGUUUCAGCAAUUUUCACUUAAGCAGACAUGUGUUUUGGUUUUCAGUUCCUGCAUAGGCAUCGGUGAUAAGAUAAAGAAUAACAACUGUAUAAACGGAGGUGGUUGGGUAGCAUGGAUUAUGCUAGACUGACUAAGCUUGAGUCCAAAUUUCCUUCAUUUUGAAUUCAGUUAGCCAUUGUUUGAGCAAAUCAUUUCUACAUGCAUGUGUACUGGGGUUAGUACUAUCUACUAUGGUGAAUGCCAUGCAAACAAUUAAGUUGCUUCAUUUGAUUUCCUGCUACAUCUCCACUUAAAUACUCAUAAUGCUACACUCAAGAUCUUGUUCAAUUGGACUGACUACAUAUCUCUUGUUAAAAUUAUGGUCUUGAUCUUUUGUUUAAACCUGAGACAUCAUGCAUAACUAGCUCUUCCUUUAGAGUCUAAACCUGAGACCUCUUUUGUUUUAUAUUCAGUUCUAUGAUUGAUGGUCACACUGCUGUUUUGCUAUGCUUGAUAAACCUGAGACCUCUUUCUAUUCUUAUUCUUUAGGUCACACUGUUGUUUUUCUGUGGUUGAUAAACCUGAGACUUCUUUCUAUUCUUCAAGGCGGUUUUGUUUAGGCCAGCCAUGGAGCAAAAAGAACAGACAUUGCUACUUAAGCAAGAGGGAAUACCCUACGAGGCCAUGAUGCUUACCUUGCUCGAGCGCAUCAACCCCGACCAUGGCACCACAUUCACAGUCUUGAGGUAGCCGUGCUGCAACUACAUCAACGCUAUCUUCUCUGACUAGAUAAGUCUUCGGUCUAUCCCAUUAUUUUCUUUUGUUCUUUGGUCGAUGGGCCAUGAUGCCAUUGUGUUGAUUCCCUAUGUGAUGCAGAAGCUAUGGUGUUUUGUUUUAAGUCUGUUAUAAAUUGUAAUUGAUAAUGAUUUGUGUAAAAUUAGUGUAGAACAUAUGUCUUGUUAUCUUAAAUCGUUCGUGUCGUGCUCAAUGAACCAUCAAAGAUUAAAUUGUUUUCUGCGUUCAACAUCUAGAACCAUUUUGGGAGUUUUGGUAUACAUGCAACAACUAUGCCUUCUUGGAUUCUGAACAACCAUUUCUGGAAGUUUUGGUAUUCAUGCAACAACUAGUCCUUGUGGUUAUUACGGUUACAUGUUACAUGUAGAGAUGGUUCAUGAUUUAGUCCCUAGCUGCUAUCUAUAUUUGUUUUUAUUUUGUUUCUAACUCUUUUGGUUAAUUGUUAGAUGCCUUUGUUCAGCUUGUAUGGACAUAUCUAGAAAUGGUGUUUCCUCUCAUGUAAAGAGCUCCAGCCUAGAAGUGAAGAAGUUUGGAGUGUAUUUGUAGCAGGUUUAUAUGUUGUGAUGGUAUCACAUGUAAUGGUGAAAUGAAUUAUGUAAAGAUUGUGCUAUUAGCCAAAAUUGGCAUGUGGUUUGAUAAUUCUCAUUUGU